AUGGCUGGGAGAAAGAAUCCAGCACAUUCUUCUCAGUUCGCAGGUGCAGAAGCUGCAGCCCAGAGGAAGGAGAUGCAUGCAAGGACUCCAGCAGUGUGGCUCAGGUGGAUCAGAAGGGAUGCCUUGCCCCGUGCUGCUGCUGGUACUUCGAACAGUCUGAGCAAGCACCCCCAGUCAGUGCGGGUGAAACGGAGGAAGGAAGAAACGAGGGAGGGAGGCCCGUGUUUUCCUGCGACAGCUGCCACCACCCCAGAUGACCCCCGCUUCCCAGAGAGUUCCAGGAGAUGGCAUCCUCAAAUAUGCAUCCGAUCUAUCCCCACGCCAAGAACUCCUGCUAAACGUACCUCAUCGUCCAUAGCUAAAGCUGAAGUUCCUCAGAAGGGCACAGACCACUCUUCCUUGUCCCACAUAUCCACUUCAUAA
rnacentral:lncRNA from 12 species